rnacentral:rRNA from 1 species
GACGAACGCUGGCGGCGUGCUUAACACAUGCAAGUCGAACGGAAAGGCCCUGCUUUUGUGGGGUGCUCGAGUGGCGAACGGGUGAGUAACACGUGAGUAACCUGCCCUUGACUUUGGGAUAACUUCUGGAAACUGGGGCUAAUAUCGGAUAGGAGAUCCUGCUGCACGGUGGGGGUUGGAAAGUUUCGGCGGUUGGGGAUGGACUCGCGGCUUAUCAGCUUGUUGGUGGGGUAGUGGCUUACCAAGGUUUUGACGGGUAGCCGGCCUGAGAGGGUGACCGGCCACAUUGGGACUGAGAUACGGCCCAGACUCCUACGGGAGGCAGCAGUGGGGAAUAUUGCACAAUGGGCGGAAGCCUGAUGCAGCAACGCCGCGUGCGGGAUGACGGCCUUCGGGUUGUAAACCGCUUUCGCCUGUGACGAAGCGUGAGUGACGGUAAUGGGUAAAGAAGCACCGGCUAACUACGUG